rnacentral:rRNA from 1 species
CUGCGAAUGGCUCAUUAUAACAGCUAUAAUGUACUUGAUCUUGAUAAUCCAAUGUGGAUAACUGUGGUAAUUCUAGAGCUAAUACAUGCACCAAAGCUCCGACUUUAUGGAAGAGCGCAUCUAUUAGAUUAAAACCAAUCGGGCCUAGCCCGUCAAUUGGUGACUCUGAAUAGCUAUGGCUGAUCGCAUGGUCUCGUACCGGCGACGUGUCUAUCAAGUGUCUGCCUUAUCAACUUUCGAUGGUAGUUUAUGUGCCUACCAUGGUUGUAACGGGUAACGGAGAAUAAGGGUUCGACUCCGGAGAGGGAGCCUGAGAAACGGCUACCACAUCCAAGGAAGGCAGCAGGCGCGCAAAUUACCCACUCUCGGCAUGAGGAGGUAGUGACGAAAAAUAACGAGACCGUUCUCUUCGAGGCCGGUUAUCGGAAUGGGUACAAUUUAAACCAGUUAACGAGGAUCUAUGAGAGGGCAAGUCUGGUGCCAGCAGCCGCGGUAAUUCCAGCUCUCAAAGUGUAUAUCGUCAUUGCUGCGGUUAAAAAGCUCGUAGUUGGAUCUGCGCCUCAGGACCCGGUCCGUCCUUUGGACGAGAACUGGGAUCCUAGGCUAGUACUGUCGGUUUUCCCUGUGUUGCCUUGAUCGGUCGCGCAGGGUGGCCGGCGAGUUUACCUUGAAAAAAUUAGAGUGCUCAACGCGGGCUGACGCCUGAAUACUCGUGCAUGGAAUAAUGAAAUAGGAUCUCGGUUCUAUUUUGUUGGUUUUCUGAUCUGAGAUAAUGGUUAAGAGGGACGGACGGGGGCAUUCGUAUCGCUGCGUGAGAGGUGAAAUUCUUGGACCGUAGCGAGAUGCCCGACUGCGAAAGCAUUUGCCAAGAAUGUCUUCAUUAAUCAAGAACGAAAGUCAGAGGUUCGAAGGCGAUCAGAUACCACCCUAGUUCUGACCGUAAACGAUACCAACUAGCGUUCCGUCGGUGGUAAAUACGCCUUGACGGGCAGCUUCCCGGAAACGAAAGUUUUUCGGUUCCGGGGGAAGUAUGGUUGCAAAGCUGAAACUUAAAGAAAUUGACGGAAGGGCACCACCAGGAGUGGAGCCUGCGGCUUAAUUUGACUCAACACGGGAAAACUCACCUGGCCCGGACACCGUGAGGAUUGACAGAUUGAGAGCUCUUUCUUGAUUCGGUGGUUGGUGGUGCAUGGCCGUUCUUAGUUGGUGGAGUGAUUUGUCUGGUUUAUUCCGAUAACGAGCGAGACUCUAGCCUACUAAAUAGUCACUGGAUAAAUGUGUCCAGAAGACUUCUUAGAGGGACAAGCGGUGCUUAGCCGCAUGAAGUUGAGCAAUAACAGGUCUGUGAUGCCCUUGGAUGUCCAGGGCUGCACGCGCGCUACACUGGAGGAAUCAGCGUGCUGUAACCAUUGCCGAAAGGCAUUGGUAACCCCUUGAAAAUCCUCCGUGAUCGGGAUCGGGAAUUGCAAUUAUUUCCCUUGAACGAGGAAUUCCUAGUAAGUGUGAGUCAUCAGCUCACGUUGAUUACGUCCCUGCCCUUUGUACACACCGCCGUCGCUGCCCGGGACUGAGCCGUUUCGAGAAAAGCGGGGACCGCUGUUUCUCCGCCCUUCGGGGUUUGGAGAUUCUUUGGUGGAAACCGCCUUAAUCGCAGUGGCUUGAACCGGGCAAAAGUCGUAACAAGGUUUCCGUAGGUGAACCUGCGGAAGGAUCAUUAUCGAGCAAAAAAAAAGCAAGCAAUACUGUGCACGUACACACACAUCAGUGUGUGUGUAUAUGUACAAGAUUGAGCUAGGAUCAAAUGAUUGCAGCAUAUUUUCAAAAAUUUUAUUUUUUGAAGAUAUGUUUAAUUUUGAGUUUUAUUACAAAAAAUUGGCAGCUAUCGGUGGUCAAGACUGAUAAUCAGCUGGGCAAUCAUUGGAUCUUAUUCGUGUGUUUGAGGGUGUACAAGUGGCAUUGAGUGUGUGGUGCUUUAAUGAGCGCCAAUUUUUUGACCNAUUGCUGUGGCAAAAAAAUUGUCGAUUAUUAUUGUGCUGCUGCCGCUUGUUCACUCGUUAGUUGUACCAACGGCGUCCACGUUGGCGUCUAUACCUUAUCCGAGCUAUCGCCCCUGGCCGUCGGUAGUGAUGAAGGAUAAGGAUUUAGCUCUCUUUACCGAGAGUAGACUUAAUGAGCACUGGAUUGUAGUGCCGCCAACCAAUCACAAAACAAACAAACAAUCACAAAUAUGCUAUUAUAAAAAUGGUAUAUUUUUUGUUGUUGAGUGAAUUUAUGUCUUAUUUUUUUUGUGUAUGUGUAGCAUUGAUUUGCUCUCAAACACUAAAAAAGAAAACAAAAAAAAUGAAUACUCUUAGCGGUGGAUCACUUGGCUCGUGGAUCGAUGAAGAACGCAGCUAGCUGCGAUAACUAGUGCGAAUUGCAGACACAUUGAGCACAAAAAUUUCGAACGCAAAUUGCGCCAUCGGGUUUAUUCCCCUUGGCACGUCUGGCUGAGGGUCGGCUUAUAGAAAAUCUGGACAAUUGUUCUUACACAAUUGGCCAAUUGUCGUCAGGUGAUUUUGCGCGCAUUUAAUGGCGUAUUUUCCCCUGAUUAGUGUGUAUUUUUCAUUGAAUAUGAUAGUAACUUUGUGAUUUGUAUCUGCUUGUAUAUAUGAUGAUCAUUGUUGCUGUUCAUUUCAAUAAAUGACCAAGAGACAAACGUAUAGAAUACGUUUGUAGCCGCAAUUAAUGAUAGUUUAUGUGCCAAUGCAUUGUUGCGCACAUAUUUCCAAUGGUGUGUUGUUUGAUUUUUCAUUAAUUUGAAAAAAAUAAACAAAUUGGAAUAAUAUGUGUGUCAAACUGCGCAUCAAACAAUUUUUCAUUAAUAAAUGCGUGUCUAUAGAGAUUGAUUGUGUGUAUGUGGUGUAUGUGUGUAUACACUUGCGCAUAAUUUUUCUCUCUUUUUGAGACCUCAGCUCAGUCGUGAUUACCCGCUGAAUUUAAGCAUAUAACUAAGCGGAGGAAAAGAAACUAACGAGGAUUCUCCCAGUAACGGCGAGUGAACGGAGAGAAGCCCAGCGCUGAAUCAUUUGAUCAUAAUGAUCAAAUUGAAAUGUAGUGUAUAGGUGUAACUGUCCCAUUGUUUUGUGCACUCAAAGUCCCCUUGAGCGGGGCCACAGUCCACAGAAGGUGCUAGACCUGUACGGGUGACGAAGCAUUGGGUUAGUUGCUCCUUGGAGUCGGGUUGCCUGAGAUCGCAGCUCAAAGUGGGUGGUAAACCUCAUCUAAGGCUAAAUAUGGCCACGAGACCGAUAGCAAACAAGUACCGCAAGGGAAAGAUGAAAAGAACUCUGAGAAGAGAGUUAAAGGAGGACGUGAAACCGCUGGGAUGGAAACGAAUAGAGUUGACGAAACCAAUCGUCAUUCAACCGAUCAGCUCAGCGGUCUCUUUACUCUAGUGUACCUUGAUUAGCAUGCAUGCUCUCUUCGGGGGGUAUGUAUGUAUCAAUGGACAUGAGUAAGAGGUGCUGUUGAGUAGUUUUUAAACAUGCCUGUGUGAUCGGUGCAUUUGAUGGUGGUACGCGCCGAGAGCCGUGUUUCUGUACGACAAAACUUUUGGUAGUGGAUCGAGUGAUUUAAUUGCACUCGAAAACCUGCCUGAAGUGGAUGAUGCGUAUCAUUAAUACGGUUGCAAUAGUAAUUCUCGCCAAUUUUUUGUUGGUGCGUUACAUAUUCUGCUUUAAUUCAAAAUUUCAUCAAAUGAUCGCUUGCGUAUCGUUGAUGAAUUGAUUUUUGAAUUAAGUGGUAUGGUUUGACGCGUAGGAAUUGCAUCUCGGUGUGAGCGUCGAUCACCUAUUCGACCCGUCUUGAAACACGGACCAAGGAGUCUAGCAUAUGCGCAAGUUAUUGGGUGGUAAACCUAAAAAACGCAAUGAAAGUGAAAAUCGUCUUGAUACGAUUUGAUAUGUGAACCAUAUAUUAUUUUUCUUCUAAGUAGUAUAUGGUGCAGCAUAGCCCCGUCCCCGUUGCUUGCAAUAGGGCGGAGGUAGAGCGCAUACGCUGGGACCCGAAAGAUGGUGAACUAUGCCUGAGCAGGAUGAAGCCAGAGGAAGCUCUGGUGGAGGUCCGAAGCGAUUCCGACGUGCAAAUCGAUCGUCUGACUUGGGUAUAGGGGCGAAAGACUAAUCGAACUAUCUAGUAGCUGGUUCCCUCUGAAGUUUCCCCCAGGAUAGCUGGAGCACAUAAAAGAGCAGUUAUAUUCGGUAAAGCGAAUGAUUAGACGCAUUGGGGACGAAACGUCCUCAACCUAUUCUCAAACUUUCAAUGGGUAUGAAGUUUCGCUUUCUUAAAUUUAUUGAUGAAGCGUAAACAUUGAAUGCGUGCUCCAAGUGGGCCAUUUUUGGUAAGCAGAACUGGCGCUGUGGGAUGAACCAAACGUUGAGAUAAAGUGCCAAACUUUCCGCUCAUGAGACCCCAUGAAAGGCGUUGGUUGAUAUAGACAGCAGGACGGUGGCCAUGGAAGUCGGAAACCGCUAAGGAGUGUGUAACAACUCACCUGCCGAAUCAACUAGCCCUGAAAAUGGAUGGCGCUUGAGCGGGAGACUUAUACUCAACCGUUGCUUGGCUUGUGUACACAGGAUAUUUUCAAACAAAAAAUGCAUAAGUUACCUGGCCGCAACGAGUAAGAGGGUCGCAGUGGUUAGCGUUGAAGACUUUGGGCGUAGGCCCAGUCGGAGCUUCCACUGGUGCAGAUCUUGGUGGUAGUAGCAAAUAUUCAAGUGAGAUCCUUGAAGACUGAAGUGGAGAAGGGUUCCUCGUGAACAGCAGUUGGAUGCGGGUCAGUCGAUCCUAAGAUAUUGGCUAAUGCCAUUUGUUAAAUGAGAGACGGAGAUCAAAAAAAUCCAUCUCGGCAAUCGAAAGGGAAACGGGUUUAUAUUCCCGUACCUGGACACGGAGAUUAAAUAUCCCAUUGUGGGUAUUUAGCGCGGUAACGCAAACGAACUCGGAGACGUUGAGCAGAGCCCGAGCCAGAGUUCUCUUUUCUGGUUAAGGAACGGACUCCCUGGAAGCGGUUCAGCCGGCGAUAGGGACGUUGUUUCCGUAAAGCGCCACGGUUCCUGUGGCGUCUCGUGCACUCUGCUUGACCCAUGAAAAUCCGAGGGAGGCAAUUUGAAUUUCGUGCCAGAUCGUACCGAUAUCCGCAGCANGUCUCCAAGGUGAACAGCCUCUAGUCGAUAGAAUAAUGUNGGUAAGGGAAGUCGGCAAAUUAGAUCCGUAACUUCNGGAAAAGGAUUGGCUCUANNNCUGGGUCGGUCGGGCUGUAGCGUGAAGUGAGUGCGGUUUGAUCCGUGCAGUGCUAACGCUAAUUNGNUGCACAAAAUCUUUCGGAUCUUUUGCACUAUUGGUGAAAAAUUUUUCCUCACAUAUUUGGCUCAAUUUUUCUGUUUGGUGGGUUGCAUAUGAUUGAAAAAUUGUAUGUAUACUUGCCGAAUGGGAGUUGUUGUUGAAUAUGUUGUUGGUUGGAAUUUUUUGCUUGGUGUUUAAAGUGAUGUUUGAUGUGUCCAAAAAGUGUUUGGUUCGGCUAGUGUUUGAACUGUCUUAUGGACCACUGCAGCUGUGUAUCGGUUCACUUUCAACGGUGCCGGUACUUCGUCCGACGCUAAACAGUCAGCUUAGAACUGGCACGGACUCGGGGAAUCCGACUGUCUAAUUAAAACAGAGGAGACAGAUGGUCCUUGCGGGCGUUGACUGUCUCUGAUUUCUGCCCAGUGCUCUGAAUGUAAAAGUGAAGAAAUUCAACCAAGCGCGGGUAAACGGCGGGAGUAACUAUGACUCUCUUAAGGUAGCCAAAUGCCUCGUCGGAUAACUACCGACGCGCAUGAAUGGAUUAUCGAGAUUCCCACUGUCCCUAUCUACUAUCUAGCGAAACCACAGCCAAGGGAACGGGCUUGGCAAACACAGCGGGGAAAGAAGACCCUGUUGAGCUUGACUCUAGUCCGACUCUGUGAAGAGUCAUGAGAGGUGUAGCAUAAGUGGGAGGUUUAUUAAUUUUUUGUUAAUAAGCCACCAGUGAAAUACCACUACUUUCAUCGAUUCUUUACUUAUUCGGUAAGACGGGAAUUGAACCAAGAUGGUUCUUGAUUCUGGUAUAAAGUGUAGCCGCUUGGUGGCCGCACGACUCGCGCCGAAGACAGUGUCAGGCGGGGAGUUUGACUGGGGCGGUACAUCUGUCAAAAGGUAACGCAGGUGUCCUAAGGCUAGCUCAGAGAGGACGGAAACCUCUCGUAGAGUAAAAGGGCAAAAGCUCGCUUGAUCUUGAUUUCCAGUACGAAUACAGACCGCGAAAGCGUGGCCUAUCGAUCCUUUUGAAUUAGAAGGUCUCUAGCAAGAGGUGUCAGAAGAGUUACCACAGGGAUAACUGGCUUGUGGCAGCCAAGCGUCCAUAGCGACGUUGCUUUUUGAUCCUUCGAUGUCGGCUCUUCCUAUCAUUGCGAAGCAGAAUUCGCCAAGCGUUGGAUUGUUCACCCACCAAUAGGGAACGUGAGCUGGGUUUAGACCGUCGUGAGACAGGUUAGUUUUACCCUACUGUGACUGGUUGUUGCGAUAGUAAUCCUGCUCAGUACGAGAGGAACCGCAGGUUCAGACAUUUGGUUCAUGUGCUUGGCCGAUCGGCCAGUGGUGCGAAGCUACCAUCUGAGGGAUUAUGACUGAACGCCUCUAAGUAAU